ensembl:lncRNA
AAGACAGUAACUCUAAAUGUUCAGCACAUCUCAGGCAAGCAGAGCGUGGAAACUGGAGGACAUCCUUCUCCCUGAAAUAAAACUUUUCUCCAUGUGCAUCAUGAGGCUGACAGGAACCCACCUCAUCUGCUGGGAUGUGGAACAUGCUGUAUAGUCAUAUGCUGUACCCAUGUGGUGCUCAGAGAGCUCUUGUUUUUUUUUUUUUUUUUUUUUUUUUUUCGUGCUCUUUCUUUCAAUCCCUCCGAGGAAAGCGGCUGAGAGGAAAAGAGGCAGCGUGCGACUGAAGAUGGAUCACUUGCUGUCAGUCUGCGAGGCCCUUAUGAAAUUAGUUCUCACGUUUUACAUCACGCACAUUACAUUUUGCUUUUCUUUUGCCCUGCCUUAUUCAUCUCCUUCCCAUUCAGUCGCAUUCGUUCGGUUGAAAUGAUGGCAACAUUUGGGUAUUUUUUUUGUUGCCAAAUUGUAGGUCUAGUAAACGAAAA